AUGAUGAAAAUGAUCAUGAAAAUGAUCAAAAUGAUGAUCAAGAUAUAGCGCCUGAUUGUGUUGGGGUUUUCACCCAAGAAAGAAGUCAAAAUACUUAUAAGAGUAACGGAAGAAGGGCGCUGUUCACAGAACCUGUAUCUGGAACAGUUGGGGUUCUGAGAAGAGAUACAGAGACGCUGUCAAAUGAUGUAUCCAAUGAUGACGAAUCUGUGUGUGAUACUUGUGGGCAAGAUGAACCCCCAGAGGAUCUAAUUUAUGGCAAGGCGGUAAAUUGGGUUGGCUGUGAUAAAUGUUGUAAAUGGCAUCAUUGUGUGUGUGUUGGUAUAAAACGUAAACCAGCUUCAAACAAAGUAUGGUAUUGUAAAUACUGCAUGCCAUGAUAUAUCAU